rnacentral:rRNA from 1 species
GUCUACAGCCAUGCUACCCUGAAGAAGCCUGAUCCCGUCUGAUCUUGGAAGCUUAGCAGGGUCAGGCCUGGUUAGUACUUGGAUGAGAGAUCACCUAGGAAGACCAGGUGCUGUAGGUG